AUGCAGCGGCACCUAAUGGUGACAGUUGUUAAAGCGGGGGAUCGCAAGACCUCGCGUCUGAAGAGGAGCCUGCGGCAGAUUAGCUAGUUGGUAAGGUAACGGCUUACCAAGGCGAUGAUCUGUAGCCGGCCUGAGAGGGCGGUCGGCCACACUGACACUGACAUACGGGUCAGACUCCUACGGGAGGCAGCAGUCGGGAAUUUUGGGCAAUGGGCGAAAGCCUGACCCAGCAACGCCGCGUGAAGGAUGAAAUCCCUCGGGAUGUAAACUUCGCAAGAACGGGAAGAAUAAGUAAGAGCUAACAUCUCUUACGAUGACGGUACUGUUUGUAAGCUCCGGCUAACUCCGUGCCAGCAGCCGCGGUAAUACGGGGGGAGCAAGCGUUGUUCGGAUUUACUGGGCGUAAAGGGCGCGUAGGCGGCCUCUGCAAGUCGACUGUGAAAUCUCCGGGCUUAACCCGGAACGGUCAGCCGAUACUGCAGGGCUAGAGUGCAGAAGGGGCAACUGGAAUUCUCGGUGUAGCGGUGAAAUGCGUAGAUAUCGAGAGGAACACCUGCGGCGAAGGCGGGUUGCUGGGCUGACACUGACGCUGAUGCGCG
rnacentral:rRNA from 1 species